CUACGGAGGGUGCAAGCGUUACUCGGAAUCACUGGGCGUAAAGCGCGCGCAGGCGGCCAUUUAAGUUGGAUGUGAAAGCGUACGGCUCAACCGUAGAACUGCAUCCAAAACUAUUUGGCUAGAGUGUGGGAGAGGAAGAUGGAAUUAGUUGUGUAGGGGUAAAAUCCGUAGAGAUAACUAGGAAUACCAAAAGCGAAGGCAAUCUGCUGGAACACUACUGACGCUGAGGCGCGAAAGCGUGGGGAGCAAACGGGAUUAGAAACCCCAGUAGUCC
rnacentral:rRNA from 1 species